rnacentral:rRNA from 1 species
GAGUGACGGUAAUGGGUAAAGAAGCACCGGCUAACUACGUGCCAGCAGCCGCGGUGAUACGUAGGGUGCGAGCGUUGUCCGGAUUUAUUGGGCGUAAAGGGCUCGUAGGUGGUUGAUCGCGUCGGAAGUGUAAUCUUGGGGCUUAACCCUGAGCGUGCUUUCGAUACGGGUUGACUUGAGGAAGGUAGGGGAGAAUGGAAUUCCUGGUGGAGCGGUGGAAUGCGCAGAUAUCAGGAGGAACACCAGUGGCGAAGGCGGCUCACUGGCUCGAUACUGACGCUGAGGUGCG